GCGCUGUAGCCAAGUGGUAAGGCACGGGUCUGCAAAACCCUUAUGCACCGGUUCAAAUCCGGUCAGCGC
rnacentral:tRNA from 1 species